rnacentral:misc_RNA from 1 species
GCAGCUCCUGAAUACAUAAUGACUGGUCAUUUGACGACUAUGAGUGAUGUAUUUAGUUUUGGAGUGGUGCUUUUAGAGCUGUUAACGGGCAGGCGAUCUGUGGACAAGAACCGUCCAUCUAGAGAGAAGAACCUAGUAAAAUGGGCAAGACCCUUAUUGAAGGAUCACAAUAAGCUUGACCAGAUAAUGGACCCAAGGCUUGAAGGGCAGUAUUCAACGGAGGGUGCUAGGAAGGCAGCAGCAUUGACUUACCAAUGCUUGAGCCACCACUGCAAGUCUAGACCCACAAUGAGCACUGUGGUCAUGACCUUGGAUUCUCUGCUGGAGCUAAAUGACAUGCCAAUUGGACCUUUUGUGUUUGCUGUUCCAACUGAAGGCAAGAAUAAGGAAUGCAGUGAACAAGAGAAGGAAAAAGAAAGUGAAAAUGAAUGCCUUGAGCUAAAAGAUGAGAACAAAUGUGAAGAAAAUGAGGCAGAAUUGAAAGAUAAGAGUCGCAACCGGCAUAAAAAAGGUCACAGGCACAGACGGCGAAUUAAGUCACUGAGGUCUAGAGCUGUCUAUUCUGAUACUGCUCUGUAUAAAACUUUAGGCACUGGCUUUU